ACCAAGCACUAAUAGGAACCUUCUCUUCAAUUUCCAGUGCUUGCUUUCCCAGUUUCACUUAUUUAUAAGCAGAGUACCACUCCCACAUUCCCUUCUCAUCAAUAUUGCUUCUUGAUAAUGAUCUUGUCUUAAGACACUAACAAACAGUUCUUGCUUCUUCAUCUUGUCCGAAAAAUUUCUUCAUUUUGUCUAAAAACACUCGAAAUAGUUCUUACUGCUAGAUCUUGUCCAAAAACACCCAACCAUGGCUUAUUCUUUUGUAGAGAAUACGAGAUUUUACCCUUCAACAUCCUCNNNNN
rnacentral:lncRNA from 1 species